CUCCGUCAGCCGCGGUAGGCGGCCGGGCGAGUGUCGCGUCGCGGUGCCGGGGCUGCCGCGCGCCGCGUCCUAGAACCGGUUCACUUUUCCGCGAUCGAUCGCGCGCCUGUUGCCCAUUCGAACUGCAUCCGUCGUCGUCGCGCGCGCACCGCGCACCGCAAUAAACCGUCCAGCAUCGUCGCCGCUUACUUGCGAGUCUGUCGUUGCACGUCUCCAGAGACGUAUACAACUUACUGUUUGUACACGUUUUACUUGUUGAAUAAAUUGUUGUAAUUAAAACGAAAAAAUAACAAAAUCACCGCAACCGACGCGACUUGUUUACACAGCGCGUCGUCCGAAACGCGACACGAGCCGCACAAACCGAUCCAGACGCACGCACGCACGAACGCGUACGUCUCGGCAAUAUUCCAUUCAGGCCCCCCGGCCCCCACCAGUCACCGACCGACUCAUCAACCGUAAUAAUAAUAAUAUUACAUCGCAUAACUUUGUCGCGCCCGAUUGUCACGCCGCGCCGACCGACGCGUACCACCGGUUGCGGCCGUCGUCCAACAGCGGUGGCCGGCGCCUGCGCAGUGCACAACAAUUAAAACAAAAAAAAUCCACCAUCGAUAUUCCGACUGUCAUCUUAUGAUAUUGUCUUACGUUUAUUUAUAGCGUACAUUGUCGGGUCGUUAUUUUGUUUCGUAAAAAAAUUUGUACAAGUAUAUCGUUGUUAUUAUUAUUUUGUAUAAUAAUUGUUGAUCUUCGCGUCCGUCCGAUUUUUCGUUUUCCUCCUCUCUGCGCCGCUCCGCACCGUUCAUAGUACGGCCGCGGCGUACUUCGUGCUCUCCCGACUCUCUCGGUUCGCCGACGACUGCACCGCAGCGGCAUUCACGCACCGCACGUUCGCACACUACGCACACACCACCACUGACCGUACCGCGGGCGCAGCGUGACGUGUUUUUAUCGAAAGUUUUCACCCAUUAAACCGCCAGCGUUUGAUUAUAAUAGUAAUAAUAAUAUGUACGAUAAUAGUAAAAACGAUAACUGAGUAUUAUUAUUAUUAUUUAUUUGUUUUUUUUUUUAAUACGCGUUUUUCUGCCUUAUCUCCUCCCGCGUUGUUCAACCGGCGUUAUCUGCACCGCGGGACGAUACCACAGCCGCGACAUGCCGGCCAGCAAUAAUAAUGCCACUUACUUGAGAGCUUUUGGCUUAUCGGCCGUAGCAGCGGCGGAAUCGUCGUCGGAACAACUCGACCAGCAUCAACUCCACCACCACCUGCAGCACCAUGUGGUGGUUGGCGUCGGCGGUGACGGAAGGAGUGAUUGCGGCGGCGGCGAGUUCGACACGUCCGCCGAGGAAGACAGGGCGGCGGCGGACACCAUCGACGAGCUGAACAACCGUCGCGGUGACGUCGCGACGUCGCCGGUCGUGGACGCUGCGGAGGAGGUGGCGAGCGAUGAGUCGCCGCCGGCGGCCACAACGACCGCGGCGCGGUUGUCGUCCUCAUCACAGCGUUGCGACGGCUCGGCGACCGAUGUGGUGAGCGCGGCGGCGGAUGAAGAAAAUGGCGGCGGGAGCGCGGGCACGCCCAGCAUCGGCUACGGGUCGCCGGCGGUAGAUGGUGCGCCGGUCGGUAGGACGUCGUUCGGGUCGGAGGAGGAGGAGCCCGCCGCCGUCGACCGUUUACAGCAACAACCGGUUCACGGGACGGCAGACGAACGGCCGACCGGCAACGUGUACGUACGCCGCGAUGAUAUGAACUAUCAUCAUCAACACCAUCACCAGCACCAGCAGCACGACAGUCCGCCGCAGCUACACGUAAGCACCAGUGCGACGACUACGACAACGCCAACGACCGGUGUCAACAACAACAGUAACAGUAACAGUAGCGGUCCGUCGCCAAACAGCCGUUACGACAAUAUGUUGGUUGCACAGACUUAUCAACAGGCCAAGUACGGCAGUGGCCGGGACUUGAUGGCCGCUAUGUUCCCGCAAGUAUUGAUCGCGGGUCAGCAACAGAUACAUCAGCACUUGCAACAGCGUGACGAAGACGAAGAUUUUUACGAGUACCAGCAACAGGCGUACCAGCAGCAGCAGCAACAGCAACAUGCCAAGUUCGAACACAUCGUGCUCAAACAGGAGCCGCUGGACCGAGUCCAGCAAGUGUACACCGACGAGUACUUCCACCAGGACCACCAGCAGCAAUUGUCCGUGCAGCUCCAGCAGCAACAGGAGCAACACUGCUCCAGUCCCGGCAGCUCGGCGGGCGGUUACGACGAGGAAGUGGUGGUGGCCGCUGCCGCUAAAGGCGAACUGCUUGACCUGCACUUGGCCCGGUCCGACGGCAGCACGGGACCCGGACAGCAAGAGAAUCCCUUCGCGCAUCUCGUGGCCUCGCUGCACAGUGACUCGGGUAGCGCUUCACCGUUGCAGGGCCAUUUGCACGACGACCAACAACAGGGUUGCGGUUCACCUACCAUCGUGUGCCAGCCGCACGUGGCCGACCACUCCUAUACGCCGUCGUCCGCGACCGGCGAACAGCAAAUUCCGCAACACUUAUCGUCGCAAAACCAUCACGGCGUCUACCACAGCAGUUCCAACGUCAUACACCAUAACAGUUCCAACAUCUCUGGCUCGACCAUGUACCAGAGGAGUAACGGCGGUGGCCUACAGUAUUCGACUUCCAUGCCACAUUACUUCACUUCCUCGCCUGAGCUCAACCAACAGCAGACCAACAACAUCAUCACAUCCGUGGCUGGCAAUCAAAUGUGGUCUACAGUAGUGUCUGAAGAUGGUACUGGAGGAUAUUCUCCGACUUCGACAAGCAAACAGCAGCAGUCUAACCACAACGGCGGUGGCCUGCCAGCUUUCACUCAGCGUUUCGGCUCGUCGUCAACGUCCGCGUACACGGCCGCCGGUUCGUCCCGGUCAGCCCCUUCGUCGUAUCACCCGAUCGCCACGUCCGGCGUGACCCCUUAUCACCUGACCACCACGGCCGUCAACAACGGUGGCCCAGCAGACACCUCGUCGCUCCAGUGGGCGGCCGCCGCAGUGGCCGGAUCGCACGGUUACUCGAACACCGACGGCACCAUAAACUACGCUCCGAUGCCAAUCAACCAGUCGGGCAGGAGCCGAUCAAACGCAUUCUCGGCCGCCGCUUCACUGUCAGCUCUCGACGAGAUGGAAAUAUUUUGCGAGGGUCGCGAGUGCGUGAAUUGCGGAGCGGUUUCCACACCCUUGUGGAGGCGUGACGGCACCGGUCAUUACUUGUGCAACGCGUGUGGACUUUACAACAAGAUGAACGGCAUAAACAGGCCUUUAGUAAAACAACCCAAACGGCUGUGGCUUCCGGCCCAAGCUCGUCCGGUUCUGGAGAUUUCUAUAAGGGUCCUCUAUAUCAUCAUGUACCUGCCAGUUUUGCAAGGUCAUCCGGAGCCGGCGGAUUAGAAGAGAAAACCACAAGAAGAAUGCAAAAUGCAUCUAGGCGUCAAGGAUUGCAGUGCACAAACUGUCAAACAGCCACCACGUCGUUGUGGCGCAGAAAUCAAGUGGGUGAACCUGUGUGUAACGCAUGCGGUCUGUACUUUAAGUUACACGGUGUUAAGAGACCACUUACAAUGAAAAAGGAUUCUAUCCAGACACGGAAGCGCAAGCCCAAAGGUGGAUCCAAAAUAGAACCGGAACCUAAGAGAAUCAAACAAGAAAUACCAUCUGAACAUAACUAUAGUGACUGUCACCGCACAUCUGGUAGUGUUUUGAAUCAUGGCAGUGCUAGUUCGGGUCUUGCGUAUACCAACUUGUAUCAAACAGCCACACAUAUGACACCUGCAUACUAUGACGUCCUUAAGUCAGAGUCAUCGCAAGAAUCUAUCAACAGUCCACAUAUAGUAAGCCUUGCAUCUGCCAACAACAACAAUAAUAACAACAACAACAACAAUAAUAACAUAAACACUGGCAACAAAGAUAGGCCUAGUGUUCUAACCAUGUCAGUUAAUUCCUAAAAUUUAAUAUAUUUUUCCUUGACUAUUCUUUAGUGUUAUCAACCUUGUUUGGUGAUUUCAAUUUUAUUAUAAUAACUAUUUAUCGUUAACGAACAAAUGAAAAAAUUAUUAUGUUUUAUUUAUAUUAUUAUUAUUAUUUACAUUAUUUAACGAAAUACAAUAUUUUAUAAUUUAUAGUACAUACAUUACUGAUUGAAAUGUAGGCAAUUUUCAAAGACAUUAUUUUAGGAGAUAUUAUUUUCAAAAAGCAAAGACUGCAUAUUAUAUAUUUAUAUUAUGUUCAAGAAACAAAAUUUAUGAAAAUUAAAUUUGUAAUAAGCUCAUAUAAGUAAUUUUGUUUAAUCACAAGUACAAUAUUUUAUUUUAUUUUUGUUCUAGUUGAAUCUCUUUAUAUAAAACACUGAUUUGUUAAGUAGCAUUUACUGUAUUGUACAUUCUUGUAAGUCCUUAAUUUAUUGUACAUAAUAUAUCAUGUACUUAAUUUGUUAAUAUUAAUAUCAGUUGCUUGAAACAUAUUAUUUUUGUUUUUAAGUCAUCGUUUAUGAUCAAUUAGAGAUUGUGAUUAGAAAAAUUGUUGAAAUAUUUUGAUUAGUUAAUAGUUUAAUCGAAAAAAAAUAUUUACUGAAUCCGAAAAUUAUAGCAUGUUAAUUUCGAAAUAUUUGUAAUCAUUAUUAUUAUAAUAGAUAUAUUUGUUGUUGUAAAAUUGUAAUUAUUUAGUCAUAGUUCCGAGCAACGUAAAUACUAAUUUAAACAUGUGUGAUCAAUCAAUUUAUUUUUACACCAAAAAAUGUUUAGAACUAUGUAAAAUUAAUUAAAUAAAAAUUGCUGGUUAAUUAAAACAAAUUAUAGUAUUUAAAUUGUAGGCAUUUUAAGUCAUUUUAUCACCUUAAUUUAUAAGUAGGUAAAUAUUUUGUCGACAUUUAUUUUGAGUGAUAAAACAUUUACAUAAUAUUGUAAGUAAAUAAAUCUUAAUAUGUAAUUAA